GCCACCUUACUCCACACAUGGAUUGUAGUGGUAGUACGCAGAGAAAAACUUCCAAGAAAAUGCUCCAACUGACAACCAGCGCUGAGACUCUGCCCACUCUGCGCAGUAUUAAGCUGAGCUGGCUAAACUUUUCGGCUAUUAAGAUUAUAAUACUCUAUGCAGACAGCAAUACAGUUCAAUAUUACAUGAACAAAUAUUUCAACUCUCGUCUCGCCCAUCCUCGUCAAUCCAGACCAUCUCCAC